rnacentral:rRNA from 1 species
AUUGAACGCUGGCGGCAUGCCUUACACAUGCAAGUCGAACGGUAACAGGUCUUCGGAUGCUGACGAGUGGCGAACGGGUGCGUAAUACAUCGGAACGUGCCCAGACGUGGGGGAUAACGAGGCGAAAGCUUUGCUAAUACCGCAUACGAUCUAAGGAUGAAAGCAGGGGACCGCAAGGCCUUGUUCGUUUGGAGCGGCCGAUGGCAGAUUAGGUAGUUGGUGGGAUAAAAGCUUACCAAGCCGACGAUCUGUAGCUGGUCUGAGAGGACGACCAGCCACACUGGGACUGAGACACGGCCCAGACUCCUACGGGAGGCAGCAGUGGGGAAUUUUGGACAAUGGGCGAAAGCCUGAUCCAGCAAUGCCGCGUGCAGGAUGAAGGCCUUCGGGUUGUAAACUGCUUUUGUACGGAACGAAAAGGCUCUGGCUAAUACCUGGGGCACAUGACGGUACCGUAAGAAUAAGCACCGGCUAACUACGUG